AAAGUGCUGACUCCAUAGACUUCCCAAUUGCUGGGUGUCUCGUCCAACACCUCAUUGAAGUUGAUUGGUCAGCCAGAGAGACAAAGGGCAGAGAGAUCUGGAGCCUUCAAUAAAUCCUGCAGUGAGGUACUCAGGAAAGUCCUGACUCAAUAGCCUUCCCAGCUGCGGGGUGGAUUGUCCAUCACCACAUUGAACGCAGUUGGUCUGCCAGAGGGAGACAAAGGGCAGGGAGAUCUGGAGCCUUCAAUAAAUCCUGUAGUGAGGUAUUCCUGAUGUCCCUGACUCAGCACAAUUCCCAAUUCCUGUCUCGUCCAUCACCACAUUGAAGACGGUUGGUCAGCCAGAGAGAGAUGGAGAGUGAGAUCUGGAGCCUUCAGUAAAUCCUGCAGCCAGUACUCGGGAAGUUCCUGACUCAAUAGACUUCCCAACUGCUGUGCGUCUCAUCCAUCACCUCAUUGAAGAUGGUUGGUCACCAGGGAGACAAAGGGCAGGGAGAUCUGGAGCCUUUAAUAAAUCCUGCAGUGAGGUACUCAGGAAGGUUCAGACUCGAUUAACUUCCCAGCUGCUGGGUGUCUCGUCCAUCAUCACAUUGAAGAUAGUUGGUCAGCCAGAGAGACAAAAGAGAGGGAGAUCUGCAGCCUUCAAUAAAUCCUGCAGUGAGGUAUGGACUACCAAUAGAGAUCCAGACAGAUCAAACCUCACAUCCGGACUAUUCAAGGAGAUGAUGGAUAACUUGGGAA